CCCCUUUCCUGUCUCCGUGAGACACUUCUUACAUGCUGUUACUUGCGCCGCGCUUCUUCACAGCAAGUGGAUGAGCGCCGGAGGAGCAGCCUAAAUGAAGCCACAGGAACACCGCGUGAGAUGCGGCUCGGCUCGACCCCCUUUUACGCACGGCAGAAGAUGUGACUUGCUUCGAUUGUGUCUGAAGAAGGCUGCUGGUAACUGAUCCCGGUGUGUUCCCCUGUCAGACGGAGAGCAUAAAGUUAGCCUCAGACGUUUAUACCUCCGCAAAAAUCAUGGGGAAGAAGAACUUGCCUGCGCGAUGGAGACUUCCAGCGUUGGUCAUGUGGCUCAUCCUCCUUUGCGCACAGGGUCCAAACUGGGAUUCCAAAAAACAAGCCAGGUGCAAACAUCAUACAGCGUUACAGUUGUUGCGCAACAUCCUUUUACUGCACCUUAUCAAUCAUCAGUUAACCCCCCCCAUGUCUAAAGUCACAUCGUUCCACUCCUGGCUCUGCGCCUCCAGCUGCUGUGGCCGUUAUGCAAAUUCUCCCGCUCUCUGGAAGCGAAUGGAAUGCAAUCCGUGUCCCAGUGGGCUCGGACGGGAUCAUCAAGGUGGAGAAGGCUUGGCUUUGCUUGUAAACAUUAAACAAAACAGUCUGGAAAACACGAUGGAAUAGUGGUUGUUGUUGAAAGUGACUGUAUCAGCGGGGUUUUCAAUGUUAACCUCUGAUAUUUCAUCCAUCCACGCAUUUGCCUACUUUUCUUCUUCACAUUUUCAACUUCAUUUUUGAAUGUAUUUUUCCCAAAAUAAAGUUAGCUGUGGGAGUAGAUUUUCUGUAUUUAGCAUAAAUGGAGUAACAAUCUUUUUUCUGGAUUGUUUAGAAGUUGUGUUUUUUGAGCUUUUCACAGGAAUCGGGGUCACGUCUGAAUCUCUGGAACCCAGUGUCCUCAGUCCUGCUUACCUGUUGGCUAGAAGCACAGAGCAUCACUAUCCUGGUGGAGCUAGAAAACAAAGGCUGGCUGAUAUUUGACUUUUUUGGCACUUAAAUGCAUGCCACUCUUACACUUGUUGCCCGAGGCUGCAUUCACUCACCAAGGAAGUGAAAUGAGUUGAGCCUGAAGGCCUAAAAGCAAGGACAUGCACAACAAAACGUUGUUUUUCGGUUAGAAAUGCUACACUUUGGAUAAAUACAAAUGAUGGAGGAAUCCAGGAAUCUAGGUUUUUCCAGUGAUUACAAGUGAAGUCUGAAACCAGUUUGUUUUUGGUAUCAUUCGGUCCAGACUGUUGGAUUUAGAAAGUUUCCUUCAUUUUCUAUUUUCUAAUCUUAUCAUGACAGUUAAAAAGCAAAAUAAUCUUAUUUUGAGAAAACGGGGCUUAGUGACUAGAAUUUGUUUUUCUUAAAAAAAGAAUUCUUGGUAAAACCAUUUUUCUUAUCCAUUGGCAGAUUUAUUUUUUUGUUUAUUUAAAGAUCUGCCAAUUUGGUAUUGAUUU
rnacentral:lncRNA from 1 species